UUGAUCCUUGGCUCAGAUUGAACGCUGGCGGCAUGCCUUACACAUGCAAGUCGAACGGCAGCACGGGGGCAACCCUGGUGGCGAGUGGCGAACGGGUGAGUAAUGCAUCGGAACGUGCCCAGUAGUGGGGGAUAACUACGCGAAAGCGUAGCUAAUACCGCAUACGUACUAAGGUAGAAAGCAGGGGAUCGCAAGACCUUGCGCUAUUGGAGCGGCCGAUGUCUGAUUAGCUAGUUGGUGGGGUAAAAGCCUACCAAGGCGACGAUCAGUAACUGGUCUGAGAGGACGACCAGUCACACUGGGACUGAGACACGGCCCAGACUCCUACGGGAGGCAGCAGUGGGGAAUUUUGGACAAUGGGAGAAACCCUGAUCCAGCAAUGCCGCGUGUGUGAAGAAGGCCUUCGGGUUGUAAAGCACUUUUGUUCGGAACGAAACGGCGCCGGCUAAUACCUGGCGCUAAUGACGGUACCGGAAGAAUAAGCACCGGCUAACUACGUGCCAGCAGCCGCGGUAAUACGUAGGGUGCAAGCGUUAAUCGGAAUUACUGGGCGUAAAGC
rnacentral:rRNA from 1 species